rnacentral:rRNA from 1 species
ACGGAGGGGGCUAGCGUUGUUCGGAAUUACUGGGCGUAAAGGGCGCGUAGGCUGCCAUGUGUGUCAGGUGUGAAAUCCCAGAGCUUAACUCUGGAACUGCUUCUGAAACUGCAUGGCUUGAGUGAGUAAGAGGCGGACGGAAUUCCGAGUGUAGCAGUGAAAUGCGUAGAUAUUCGGAGGAACAUCGGUGGCGAAGGCGGUUCGCUGGUACUCUACUGACGCUGAGGCGCGAAAGCGUGGGGAGCAAACAGG